ACGAACGCUGGCGGCGUGCUUAACCCAUGCAAGUCGAACGGAAAGGCCCUGCUUGCAGGGUACUCGAGUGGCGAACGGGUGAGUAACACGUGGGUGAUCUGCCCUGCACUUCGGGAUAAGCUUGGGAAACUGGGUCUAAUACCGGAUAGGACCGCACUUUAGUGUGUGUGGUGGAAAGUUUUUUCGGUGUAGGAUGAGCUCGCGGCCUAUCAGCUUGUUGGUGGGGUAAUGGCCUACCAAGGCGGCGACGGGUAGCCGGCCUGAGAGGGUGUACGGCCACAUUGGGACUGAGAUACGGCCCAGACUCCUACGGGAGGCAGCAGUGGGGAAUAUUGCACAAUGGGCGCAAGCCUGAUGCAGCGACGCCGCGUGGGGGAUGAAGGCCUUCGGGUUGUAAACUCCUUUCGCUAGGGACGAAGCUUUUUGUGACGGUACCUAGAUAAGAAGCACCGGCUAACUACGUG
rnacentral:rRNA from 1 species